GAUGAACGCUGGCGGCGUGCCUAAUACAUGCAAGUCGAGCGAACAGACGAGGAGCUUGCUCCUCUGACGUUAGCGGCGGACGGGUGAGUAACACGUGGAUAACCUACCUAUAAGACUGGGAUAACUUCGGGAAACCGGAGCUAAUACCGGAUAAUAUAUUGAACCGCAUGGUUCAAUAGUGAAAGACGGUUUUGCUGUCACUUAUAGAUGGAUCCGCGCCGCAUUAGCUAGUUGGUAAGGUAACGGCUUACCAAGGCAACGAUGCGUAGCCGACCUGAGAGGGUAGUCGGCCACACUGGAACUGAGACACGGUCCAGACUCCUACGGGAGGCAGCAGUAGGGAAUCUUCCGCAAUGGGCGAAAGCCUGACGGAGCAACGCCGCGUGAGUGAUGAAGGUCUUCGGAUCGUAAAACUCUGUUAUUAGGGAAGAACAAAUGUGUAAGUAACUAUGCACGUCUUGACGGUACCUAAUCAGAAAGCCACGGCUAACUACGUG
rnacentral:rRNA from 1 species